rnacentral:rRNA from 1 species
UACGUAGGGGGCAAGCGUUGUCCGGAUUUAUUGGGCGUAAAGAGCGUGUAGGCGGCCAGGUAGGUCUGCUGUGAAAACUCGAGGCUUAACCUCGAGCUGUCGGCGGAAACCAUCUGGCUAGAGUCCGGAAGAGGAGAAUGGAAUUCCCGGUGUAGCGGUGAAAUGCGCAGAUAUCAGGAAGAACACCAAUGGCAAAGGCAGCUCUCUGGGACGGUACUGACGCUGAGACGCGAAAGCGUGGGUAGCAAACAGG